rnacentral:rRNA from 1 species
CUACGGGUGGCUCCAGUGGGGAAUAUUGCGCAAUGCCCGCAAGGGUGACGCAGCGACGCCGCGUGGGUGAAGAAGCUCUACGGAGUGUAAAGCCCUGUCAGAGGGGACGAAAGUAUUAGUUUCGUAAGGGAUUAGGAUUGACGGUACCCUCAGAGGAAGCUCCGGCUAACUCCGUGCCAGCAGCCGCGGUAAUACGGGGGGAGCAAGCGUUGUCCGGAAUCACUGGGCGUAAAGGGCGUGUAGGCGGAUGAUCAAGUCAGAUGUAAAAGGUUAUGGCUCAACCAUAAUUAGUCAUCUGAUACUGGUUAUCUUGAGUACGAGAGAGGGUAGUGGAAUUCCUGGUGUAGCGGUGAAAUGCGUAGAUAUCAGGAAGAACACCGGAUGCGAAGGCGGCUACCUGGUUCGUAACUGACGCUGAGGCGCGAAAGCGUGGGGAGCAAACAGGAUUAGAUACCCCUGUAGUC